rnacentral:rRNA from 1 species
CCUACGGGGUGCAGCAGUGAGGAAUAUUGGUCAAUGGACGAGAGUCUGAACCAGCCAAGUAGCGUGAAGGAUGACUGCCCUAUGGGUUGUAAACUUCUUUUAUAUGGGAAUAAAAUGUUCCACGUGUGGGAUUUUGUAUGUACCCUAUGAAUAAGGAUCGGCUAACUCCGUGCCAGCAGCCGCGGUAAUACGGAGGAUCCGAGCGUUAUCCGGAUUUAUUGGGUUUAAAGGGAGCGUAGGUGGAUUGUUAAGUCAGUUGUGAAAGUUUGCGGCUCAACCGUAAAAUUGCAGUUGAAACUGGCAGUCUUGAGUACAGUAGAGGUGAGCGGAAUUCGUGGUGUAGCGGUGAAAUGCUUAGAUAUCACGAAGAACUCCGAUUGCGAAGGCAGUUCACUGGACUGCAACUGACACUGAGGCUCGAAAGUGUGGGUAUCAAACAGGAUUAGAUACCCGGGUAGUC